rnacentral:rRNA from 1 species
UGGGGAAUCUUGCACAAUGGGGGAAACCCUGAUGCAGCGACGCCGCGUGAGCGAUGAAGGUUUUCGAAUCGUAAAGCUCUGUCCUAUGGGAAGAUAAUGACGGUACCAUGGGAGGAAGCCCCGGCUAACUACGUGCCAGCAGCCGCGGUAAUACGUAGGGGGCGAGCGUUGUCCGGAAUUACUGGGCGUAAAGGGUUCGCAGGCGGCAUGGCAAGUCCGAUGUAAAAGGCGAAGGCUCAACCUUCGUAAGCAUCGGAAACUGUCAAGCUUGAGUGAAGGAGAGGCAAGUGGAAUUCCUAGUGUAGCGGUGGAAUGCGUAGAUAUUAGGAGGAAUACCGGUGGCGAAGGCGACUUGCUAGACGUCAACUGACGCUGAGGAACGAAAGCGUGGGUAGCAAACAGG